GAUGAAGAACGCAGCGAAAUGCGAUAAGUAAUGUGAAUUGCAGAAUUCAGUGAAUCAUCGAAUCUUUGAACGCACAUUGCGCCCGCCAGUAUUCUGGCGGGCAUGCCUGUCUGAGCGUCAUUUCAACCCUCAUGCCCCUAGGGCGUGGUGUUGGGGAUCGGCGUGCCCUCGCGGCGCGCCGUCCCCUAAAUCUAGUGGCGGUCUCGCUGUAGCUUCCUCUGCGUAGUAGCAACACUCGCACUGGAUCGCAGCGCGGCCACGCCGUUAAACCCCCCACUUCUGAAAGUUUGACCUCGGAUCAGGUAGGAAUACCCGCUGAACUUAAGCAUAUCAAUAAGCGGAGGA
rnacentral:misc_RNA from 1 species